GAAGCUUAAGCUCAUUAGCUUUAUGACGCAUAUGCUUCUGCACAGAAAUAAACCACUUUUGCAAAAGUAACUCUUGGCUGGGUUGGGCUGGGUUCAGCUGCUGAGAAAAGAGGGUUUGGCUUUAGAGCCAGAAAACGUCUGGAGAAAGCAGAAUUGGGACAAAAUGCAGAUUGGUUAUUUCAAAGUUACUUUCCUUUGAAGGAGAAAACAGAGAGGACUUUUAAAUUAAACUGACUCAGGUUGACUGGGAUCUCCUGGGUUUUUUUUUUUUUUUUUUUUUUUUUUUUUUGGAAAGCUGACCCAUUUCAAAGUUCAGUUUAAUUAUGUGGCACUUAGCACAAGUGACUCCAUUCUCCUUGGGUCUGAUGCCGGGGGGGCCUCAGGCAGGUGGUUAAUCCAAACUAAUGACCUCCCAUAAAAUUUGUUGAACACAGGUGUUUUUACAAGAGGCACACAAAAGAGAGACACAGAGAGAAGAUGAGAAGACUGAGGCAGACAUUGGAAUGACGCAACCAGGAGCCAAGGAAUGCCUGGAUCCAUGGGAAGCAGAAGAGGCUUUCUCACCAUGUGAUGCAUUCUGCUAUGUUAUGAUACAGCAAGAAGGGCCUCACAAGAUGUGACCUCUUGUUCUUGGACUUCUCAGCCUCCAGAAUCAUGAGAGGGAGUGAGAGAAGUCAAACCUCUACCAGACUAGACAGAAUUUGCAUGUCUAUCUCUUACCUAAAAAAAGGCUCAGCACUGUGAAGACUGAUUGCCACCUCCCCCUUCCCCAGCAAUCUCGUGGAGAUCUGGUCAGAGAAGCUGUUCCAUCUCCCACAAACCUCGUGGCUCAGAAGCAGAGGUGGAGGCUGCAGACCUCAUGUCAGGACUGGGUCGACUAAAAUAAAAACAGUCCCCCUAGUCUGGAUGCCCUGUGUACCUUGCAACUGAGAAAAUGUGAAUGAAACCAUGAAAUACUAUGCAGCCAUAAAAAGGAAUGAAAUUAUGUCUUUUGUAGGAACAUGAAUGGAGCUAGAAGCCAUUAUUCUCAGCAAACUAACACAGGAACAGAAAACCAAACACCACAUGUUCUCACUUAUAAGUGGGAGCUGAAGAAUGAGAACCCAUGGACACAGGGAGGGGAAAAACACACAGGGGCCUAUCAGGGGGUGUGGUGGGGGGAAGGAGAGCAUUGGAAAAAUAGCUAAUGCAUGCUUGGCUUAAGUUCUACGUGAUAGGUUGAUAGGUGCAGCAAACCACCAUGGCACACGUUUACCUAUGUAACAAACUUGCACAUCCUGCACAUGUACCCCAGAACUUAAAAAUAAAAAUGAAAAUAAAAAAUAUUAGAUUUGAAAGGGUUUCAUCAUCUAACAAGAGCUCUUUGAAUCUUACAGAUAAACUCCUUUUCCUGACAUCUGCCAGUGAAAAUUCUGCAUCAGGGUAUAGUCUGUGUGACUAGCUUUGUCUUGAUGAAGGGUUUACUCCCUGCCCCAAAGGGCGAUUGGAAGCAAGGCUGGACCUGUGUGUGUGUGUGCAUGUGUGUAUGUGUGAAGUCCUAAAGGAACCUGGAUAAGUGCAAAUGGAGACUGCACAGGAGUUGAGGCCUCGUGCUGGGACACUCACCUUUGUUGGGUGUGCACUGAAGCUGCAACACCUUUGGGAUUUGGGGAUUGCAGAUGAGGUCACACUUUAUUUCCUCCUUUAACAGACUUCUAGUGACAUUCAGGGAAGGGGCAGAUGUCCCUCCUCCAGCUGGCAGGGCAACAGACAUUAGGAAGGAGGACCACAGUGGGAAGACAAUAAAUACCACGAUGACAGGGUUUUCU
rnacentral:lncRNA from 10 species